AGAGUUUGAUCCUGGCUCAGAACGAACGCUGGCGGCAGGCCUAACACAUGCAAGUCGAACGGAUGUAGCAAUACAUUAGUGGCGCACGGGAGAGUAACGCGUGGGAACCUACCUUUUGGUUUGGGAUAACGUCGGGAAACUGACGCUAAUACCGGAUAAGCCCUUCGGGGGAAAGAUUUAUCGCCAAUAGAUGGGCCCGCGUUAGAUUAGCUAGUUGGUGAGGUAACGGCUCACCAAGGCGACGAUCUAUAGCUGGUCUGAAAGGAUGACCAGCCUCACUGGGACUGAGACACGGCCCAGACUCCUACGGGAGGCAGCAGUGGGGAAUAUUGGACAAUGGGGGAAACCCUGAUCCAGCCAUGCCGCGUGAAUGAUGAAGGCCUUCGGGUUGUAAAGUUCUUUUGGUAGGGACGAUGAUGACGGUACCUACAGAAUAAGCUCCGGCUAACUUCGUGCCAGCAGCCGCGGUAAUACGAAGGGAGCUAGCGUUGUUCGGAAUUACUGGGCGUAAAGGGCGCGUAGGCGGUUCGACAAGUCAGAUGUGAAAGCCCUGGGCUCAACCCGGGAACUGCGUUUGAGACUGUCGUACUUGAAUUCGGGAGAGGUUGGUGGAAUUCCCAGUGGUAGAGGUGAAAUUCGUAGAGAUUGGGAAGAACACCCGUGGCGAAGGCGG
rnacentral:rRNA from 1 species